rnacentral:sRNA from 1 species
UCCCCAAUCACCCAUGCCCCGAGAGGAC